GUGGCAGCCGCCGCGGUAAUACGGAGGGUGCAAGCGUUAUCCGGAUUCAUUGGGUUUAAAGGGUGCGCAGGCGGAUUAUUAAGUUAGUGGUGAAAUCCCGGGGCUCAACCUCGGAACUGCCAUUAAUACUGGUAAUCUGGAAUACGGUUGAAGUGGGCGGAAUGUAGCAUGUAGCGGUGAAAUGCAUAGAGAUGCUACAGAACACCGAUCGCGAAGGCAGCUCACUAAGCCGAUAUUGACGCUCAGGCACGAAAGCGUGGGGAGCGAACAGGAUUAGAUACCCUGGUAGUCCACGCCGUAAACGAUGAUAACUCGUUGUUGGCGACACACAGUCAGCGACUAAGCGAAAGCGAUAAGUUAUCCACCUGGGGAGUACGAUCGCAAGGUUGAAACUCAAAUGAAUUGACGG
rnacentral:rRNA from 1 species